rnacentral:lncRNA from 1 species
AUGCUACAGUGCUGCUCACUGAGCCAGGAGGAUCUCUGGUGUCGGAUGGGAUACUCUUGUAUAAUUUGUGUCUACCUCUAUCGAUUCCACAGCCCACGAAACUCUGGAGUGCGCCCCACAAUUUGUGCUAAUUCUCAGGGACGUCCCCUCCACUGUUUCCAAGUUGUUUUCGACCUUGAAUGUUGUCUGUGUCCUCACCACGUUGAACAAGGAUGGGCCACUGCUCUGCUUGGAGGGGUCAUGCAGGAUUCUCCUGGAAGGCAUCCCACCCCCGCUGACUGACGCUGAGUAGGGUUGUAUAAUUCAAUAUCCCACACCGAAAGCUUUCUUUAUAGGUCGCGUCCCUCAUGGAGCCAUACAGGCCUGUCCGUAUCAACAGAAAUACAGGGAAAGAGAAGCAGAGAAGGGGCCUUAGUCCUUUGGGAAAGACCUCAAGUUUGCAGAAGUAAAUUAGGCUGUAAUUCCACGUCUCUGUCCGUCUGUCCAACGGAGAUCGGUGCGCUACCCUAGGGACACUAGACUCCUUUAAAGAUGUCAUUUUGCGCCUUCGAAUCUCAAGACACAACGUGGUUUCUACCACGUUCCUUGGCCCCUCUCUGUCCAUAUCAUCACCCUUCUUUCUCCGCUGAAUCACUCCGGUGGCCCCGUCACCGGCCUUGGCAUCUGUGGUGUGCCCUCUACCCUGUUCUCCAGGCCGCACCUGGAGACAUCUUCCCCAAAUGCAAGUCUCAUUAAAUCAGAGCCUGGCGAAAAACCCUUCGGUGGUUUCCAGUGGAACAUUCUCAUAGAUUUUACUACCUGGGCACUGCCUACCUUUAUUCUCACUAUUCUGUAACAUCCACUCUCCACCCACCUUGCACACACACACACACACACACACACACACACAGACAACCAGCACAGACCAUUUAUUUCUCUAUUUCAGCUUGACUGGACACCCCGCAGCCAUCUUUAAGAUAUACGGCCCCUUGCGUUUUCUGACUCGGGGUACCAAGAUGCAGAGGCCCGUUUCAUUCCCCUGGGCUCCCUUUCUAAACAUCGUGGAAGAAAACUGCCCGAAAUGUUUGCUACAAAUGAAGUGUGUGAUCUUCUCAUUAGUUUCUUUCGUUCUUUUAAUCAUCCUAAAAGGAGUCUCAUAAGUCAUGCUUAGGAUUUACUGGGGAUGCAUGAUAAUGAAGGCAGUCUCCCGAUUUAGGAACACCCCUGGGACUUCUCCCAUCUCUUACUGCAGGGCACAGAUGCUGUGCCCUAGAUCGGAUCAAGGCGGAGGCUUGGAUACCGG